ACAGGCUAAUUGUAAGGUCUAUUGUGCUUUUUAGCAAGUCAGCUUGAUAUCCCCUAUUAUCAGAGCUGAGUUCUUCCUUGGUUUUGCUACAUACUGCAAGAUGGAUACAUCUACCCUUGAAACACAAUGGUAGAGGUCAUACAUAGGGGUGAGAAAGAUGAUGAUGGGAGGAAGAUUAUGUGGGCAGGGGUCGCUCGCCCCUUGCCCUACAAGUAGGGCAUGCACAGACUGUUGCCAUGAGGUAAUGAACAGGUGGGGUUUGGCUGCCACUCAGGCAUCACCUUAUACUUCGUACUGGCCCUACGUGGUGUAAUGUGGAGCUGAUAAAAUGGGGUGUCAGGACUGCUGAGUUGAGCAAUACUCAUCCUACCACUGAGGCUGUGCUGCUCCGCGGGGACGCCCGCUAAGCAUGGGCACUGACCAGCUGCUGCAGAUCCUGACAGCCCUGGCCUGUCUGUGUGGGUGAGCACAGUUUAUUGACAGGAAGCAACUGAGAGAACAAACUUUUUAAUAUCCUUUUAGUGUUCCUUUCAUUCCCCUUUACUGGUG